rnacentral:sRNA from 1 species
GUGAUGCUGACACUGCUGGUCCAGGGACCACGCUUGGAGAAUCACUACACUAGGGCAAGCAGGAAGAGAGUCCUCCUUGUGGAACUGAAGCAGGCAGUGUGAAGACCCAUGUGGAGCACCUUAACCCGCAGCCUCUCUGACCAUCCAGUUGGCAAAGACCCUCAGGCCAUGAGGACUGGCCAAAGACAGUGAGAGGACGUGCAAGGGUAAAUUCCUGAGCCCCGCAGUCUUAUUUCCUGCCCUGACGUCCCUGCACACCAGCCCAAGGGUUAACCGUAAGCGGAUGCCUGUAUGGCGGCCUUACUGAUGCCACGCAGGAACAAAGGGAUGAGGACUCGACUGGGAUGCCUGUCUCACAAGUCAGACUCGUGUAGUGAUUUCACAGCUAUUCUUCCAGACAAACCCAACCGCGCUCUCAAGAGAUUAUCCACAGAAGAAGCUACGAGGUGGGCAGAUUCCUUUGAUGUGCUGCUCUCUCAUAAGUAUUUCACAAAAGAAAAGCUGUGAUCCUGAUGCUAUUCUCAUCAUGAAUUUCAAAGCAGUGAUUUGUUUCUGGAUCAAAGAAGUUUUGGCAUCACUAUUAGUGUAUGUAUCCUGGAUUUUAGAAAUGUAAUUUCCAUUCUUCUCCUCUAUCUGGUCUUGGAACCCAUUCACCAGCUUAUUUUCUCCAGUUGUUCGGGGAUACAAGAGGACUCUGGUUUUUAGGACAGCAUUUUCAUAAAUAGAGAACUUAAAAUAAAUUGUUUUUGUUGUUGUGCUCUUGUAUUUUUCCAAGCCUGGG